AUGUCAGUCUUAAAUGAGCACCCAAUCUUUGAAUUAUGGGGUUGAAUUGAAAAUUCCUGGUGUUGUUGACAAUUAGAAAAAAAAUGUGACAGCGCAGAAGAAACCACACACACAUCCGAAUUUUCGCCUCCAAUAACGUCAUUCCGCUGUACUACGGACUAAGUCCUCAGGGAGAUCAAGAGGGGAUGGAAAAUCAUUAUUAUUGGAUAGGUUGAAGGCAGAUGUUCCCUCGGUCACUGGGAGGCUGAGAGAGCGAGAGAAUAAUACGAACGACCGAAGGAAAAUCUGUGGAGAGUACAACCCCCAGCAUCUGCUCAUUUUUCCUAAAAAUACGUUUUUCGAGUUUUAUGAUAAAAUUUUAAAGAAAAACAAGUAGAGAAUAGAUUUUAUAUCGCAUAUUAUAUAUUAUUUUCGCUAUUUUCUCUAUUAUCUUUUCCUUUUGUAAAUCAGCUUUCACUUUUAUUCCAUUAAACUUUUCAGUCUCGUCCUCUAGAUUCUCAAUUUCGUGACAGAGAGAAACCAAAAAUGUUAUGCAAUUGCAACUUCAAGCUUCAACAAAACAGGAAAUUCUUCAUAGAUCAUCUUUUCAAAUCCGUUGCUUUAAUU